rnacentral:lncRNA from 1 species
CGCCCAUGGAUGGGAUGUCCUCUGGUCCUCAGGCCUCAGUUGCAGAAGCUGCUUCUAGGGGGUGAUGGGCUGGCUCCUGGGAACUGCUCACCUAUGGAAAUACACAAGAAAUAGACCAGAGGUUGCCUGAUGAGCAGGACACGGCCCCAGGAGGCAGGUGAUGCUAGUGAUGUUGGAGGAAUGCUUUAGAGAAAUUCGUGUGGGGCAAGAAAAGCUAAAGUGUCAACUGGCUGGGCAAACAGCAUCCAGGGAGGUUUUGCUUAAGUGUUUUAAGGUGAGAGAUGUUGGGUUUAAUCCCAAUGGCAAGGGUACCUCGAGAGGGAAAGAGUGAGGAUGGGGGACAUUGAAAGGGAACAGCAAGAGGUGGGGAGGAGAUCAGGAGGGGCAGAGCCUCCCUAGUAACUGUGGAGGGAGGAGGUAGAGUGUAAGGAAGGCAGGCUUGGGGUUUGGUGAUGCAACACGAGCCUCCCAUCUGAUGGCUUCUGUUUUUCCUGUGUAGCACUGGGGUCAGAGGUUUGAGGAGACUGCAGAGUGGAAGAGAGCUGACCAGAUGUCAGCAGGCUGGGUAGUGAGGGGGGCCUCCAUCUGGGUUUGCCAGAUGGGGACAAUGAAAACAAAAUCAGGGAGGUGGGGGUCGACAACAUUGGCUGGAUGACAAGUGAUGAGAGCCACGCUGGGUGGGGGUAAAAGGACAGAAGGAAGAAACCAAAAGGCCGUGGGACCCAGGAGAGUCACUCCCUGCUGGGAGGAGAGAGGCACUAAGGGAGGCACAGUCCC